ACCUGAAAUACAAUGAUCGGUUGAAGUUUAGCGGGC
rnacentral:sRNA from 1 species